AUUGAACGCUGGCGGCAUGCCUUACACAUGCAAGUCGAACGGCAGCAUGGGUGCUUGCACCUGAUGGCGAGUGGCGAACGGGUGAGUAAUGCAUCGGAACGUACCCGGAAGUGGGGGAUAACGUAGCGAAAGUUACGCUAAUACCGCAUAUUCUGUGAGCAGGAAAGCGGGGGAUCGCAAGACCUCGCGCUUCCGGAGCGGCCGAUGUCGGAUUAGCUAGUUGGCGGGGUAAAGGCCCACCAAGGCAACGAUCCGUAGCGGGUCUGAGAGGAUGAUCCGCCACACUGGGACUGAGACACGGCCCAGACUCCUACGGGAGGCAGCAGUGGGGAAUUUUGGACAAUGGGGGCAACCCUGAUCCAGCCAUGCCGCGUGAGUGAAGAAGG
rnacentral:rRNA from 1 species